rnacentral:lncRNA from 1 species
AUAGAAGGAAAUAAUGUAUUAAUUGGUAUCAAAGCGAGAUUUUGUUCAUUAUUUUAUGAAUAAAAAUUGUAUAUAUUGAGAUGAGGAUAAUAUCAUGACACACCAAGUUCGAGGUUCAAGGGACCAGGAUUUGGGGGCGUGAGGCAGUAAUCAUCACCUGAGUUGCGUCAAUACAUCAAAACCCUCAUUUCAACUUUUUGAACAGCCACAAAAACCAAUUUUCAUCAUAUCAUUCCAUCUGGAACCAUUUUGCCCGUCAAAGCAAAGGCUGUGAUUUAUUUCGCAGAUAACCUACACUAACAUCAAUUUUAUGCUUCCUAAUAAAAAAUUUAGUAAUCAAAUCCAUAAAUUUUUGCCUCUGAUUUUUCAAUUUUCACCAAGUCUCUGAGAAUCCCACCGCAAAUCUCAA